rnacentral:lncRNA from 1 species
AUGAUAACAGGGUUUAGGGAGACACAGAAGGAAACUCUGAAAGACCUGAUGGAAGAGCUCCAAAAGAAAGUGCGUGACAUCGAAGCAGAGAUUUACCCUAAGAAUGGCGGACAGUUUCAGGGCACAUUGGACAGUGACAGAGAUGUGACCAACUUCCUCACAAAGGUCUCCAAUGGAGAUUGUAAGAGCUGGAUGGAACAUGUAAUGAACCACUGGGAUGAGAAGCUGGAGACAACAGUGCCACAAAGCAGACCUCAAGACACGGCCCGAUCCGGGGCCUCCGGCAGCACACCCAGCACCUGGAUCUUCCUCCUGUUCCUCUGCUGUGCCAUCCUCCUUGGCAUCCAUGUCGGGGUCCUUUAGAGGGACAGGCUGGCGAAGCUACCAAGGAGCCCAGGAGAGUAGGGUCCAGCUGCACAACCCUGCCUUUGCGCAGGCUGCCUUUGGAUGAGCUGCUGUUCAAUUUUAGACCACUAGAACUUGUGGCCUUACAUUCCAGAGACCUCCAACCAGACCACAUGGUGCAGCACUUGGACAUUCUGUGUCCCUUCCUACAUUCAGUGCCUCUCCUGUUCAGCACUCUGCCUUGGCAAAUUCCUGCCAUUUUUCUUGAUGCUAAGUUAUAGAAUCUUUGAAUGGAAAUGUUUAAAGGCAUUAUCAAGAAAUCUCAACAAAGAGAAUGUUCUUCAUCUUGUCCUUUGCUUGUGCAAUAUCAGAAUCUCCUCUGUAUGAUGACAUUGUUCUUGAACAUAGUAUUUUUUUUUAAGGGGAAGAAAUAAAAUCCACAUUUUAUUGAACCAAAAUAAAAUUUCAAUACCAACCCUGCUAAGAAAUGAAAUAUAAUUGAACACUAAAAAUUAAAAUUUACCAGAUAUAAUAUAGUAUAGAGUUUCCUCAAAAAAUUAAAAAUAGAACUACCCUAUAACCCAGUAAUCACACUACUGGGUAUUUACCCAAAAAGUACAAAAACACUAUUUCAAAGCGACACAUGCAUCCCUUUGAAAAAGGGCAUUAUUUACAAUAGCCAAAUUAUGGAAGCAGCCCAUGGAUAAAGAAGGUGUGGCGUCUAUAUCUAUAUUUAUAUCUGUAUGAAAUCUAUCUAUCCAUCUAUCUACACACUGGAAUAUUACUCAGCCACAAAAAAGAAUGAAAUCUUGCCAUUUGCAAUGACAUGGACAGAGCUAGAGAGCAUUAUGUUAACUGAAAUAAAUCAGAGAAAGACAAAUACCAUAUGAUUUAAUUUACAUGUGGAAUUUAAGAAACAAAACAAAUGAGCAAAGAGUGGAAAAAAAGAGAGAGAUAGAAGCAAACCAAGAAACAGACUCUUAACUAUAGAGAACAAACUGAUGGUUACCAGAGGGGAGGUGGAUGGGGGGGAUGGGUUAAAUAGAUGACUGGCAUUAGCAGUUCAUUUGUGAUGAGCAUUGGAUGAUGUAAUGAUAUGCUGAAUCACUAUAUUGUACACCUGAAACUAAUAUAACAUUGUAUGCUAACUAUAUUGGGAUUAAAAAUUUUUAAAGAGAAAACAAACUGAACCAAAUGCUAAUAAUAAGAAUAGUAAAGUAAAAUUUAUCAACUGUAGAAAAAACAGGGCAUCCCCGGUGGCGCAGCGGUUUAGCGCCGCCUGCAGCCUGGGGUGUGAUCCUGGAGACCCGGGAUCGAGUCCCACGUCGGGCUCCCUGGAUGGAGCCUGCUUCUGCCUUCUUCUCCCUCUGCCUGUGUCUCUGCCUCUCUCUCUGUCUCUGAAUAAAUAAAUAAAUCUUUUUUAAAAAAUUAUAUAAUAAACAGUUUUUUGAAGGAAAUGCUUACACUUAAAUUCCUUUUGGGAAACUUGGCUAGAGAAAAAAGGAAAAAAGUAAAGAAAGAGGGCAGCCCAGGUGGCUCAGCGGUUUAGCGCCGCCUUCAGCCCAGGGCCUGAUCCUGGAGACCCCGGAUCGGGUCCCAUGUCGGGCUCCCUGCAUGGAGCCUGCUUCUCCCUCUGCCUGUGUCUCUGCCUCUCUCUCUCUCUCUCUCUCUCGAAUAAAUAAAUAAAAUCUUUAAAAAGAAAAAGUAAAGAGAGAUAAGGAUAUGGAACUAUCCAAACAUUUUGAAUGCAAAGCUAAUAUGCAAGGCAUUCGUUAUAU